rnacentral:rRNA from 1 species
CGGCCGCGUCGACGGCAGGCUUAACACAUGCAAGUCGAACGAUGACUCUCUAGCUUGCUAGAGAUGAUUAGUGGCGGACGGGUGAGUAACAUUUAGGAAUCUACCUAGUAGUGGGGGAUAGCUCGGGGAAACUCGAAUUAAUACCGCAUACGACCUACGGGUGAAAGGGGGCGCAAGCUCUUGCUAUUAGAUGAGCCUAAAUCAGAUUAGCUAGUUGGUGGGGUAAAGGCCCACCAAGGCGACGAUCUGUAACUGGUCUGAGAGGAUGAUCAGUCACACCGGAACUGAGACACGGUCCGGACUCCUACGGGAGGCAGCAGUGGGGAAUUUUCCGCAAUGGGCGAAAGCCUGACGGAGCAAGACCGCGUGGGGGAAGAAGGC